rnacentral:ncRNA from 1 species
UUUCAUUUUCUGCUUCGAAAGGAGGAGAGCCUGGCGUCAGCCGAACGAUCCGACUGGUACAUAUAUAAUCCAUAUAAAACCGCCAAAGAAAAAACAAGGUUCCUUAUUCCGUAUUUCUCGCUUCAGGAGUAGAGCUAAUCCUAACGAUUAUUUUUCCGUAAUUUUAUGUUGUUGAGUAUUUUCAAAAACAGAUUAUAACACUUCCGUGAUCGGUAUAGGAAGUUGUAACUAUUUCCCUUGAAUGAGAUUCCCUAGUAAUUGAGAGUAACGUUGACCAUGUCACUGUCAUUUCACACACGGCCGGUCGCUGUCCGGGACUGAGCUUUCUCGGGAGGACCGCGGACUGCUGUUCGAAGGCUUUUAUGGUGGGAAUCAGUUCAGUCGCUAUAGCUUGAACCGGGUAAAAGUCGUAACAAGAUACCUAUAGGUGGACAUGCAGAUGGACCAUCG